rnacentral:rRNA from 1 species
AUGGCCCACGCUAAUGUUGCCCUCAACUUCAACGCGUUCCUAGAGAAAACCAAGCUGAAAGACGAUCGUAGCAACUAUACGGACUGGGUCCGUAACUUGAGGAUCAUCCUCAUAGCUGCCAAGAAAGCAUAUGUCCUUGAUGCACUGCUAUGUGAAGCACCUGUUUUCCCAGCAACUCAAGAUGUUAUGAACGCCUGGCAGUCGCGUAGUGAUGAUUACUCCCUGGUUCAGUGCGGCAUGCUUUAUAGCUUAGAAUCAGGGCUCCAAAAGCGUUUUGAGCAGCACGGAGCAUAUGAGAUGUUCCAAGAGCUGAAAAUGGUUUUCCAAGCUCAUGCCCGAUUCGAAAGAUAUGAAGUCUCCAACAAGUUCUACAUUUGUAAGAUGGAGGAGAAUAGUUCUGUCAACGAGCACAUACUCAAAAUGUCUGGGUUGCACAACCGCUUGUCUCAGCUGGGAGUUAAUCUCCCGGAUGACGCGGUCAUUGACAGAAUCCUUCAGUCGCUUCCACCUAGCUACAAGAGCUUUGUGAUGAAUUUCAAUAUGCAGGGGAUGGAGAAAACCAUUCCUGAGGUAUAUUCAAUGCUGAAAUCAACGGAGGUGGAGAUCAAAAAGGAACAUCAAGUGUUGAUGGUUAAUAAAACCACUAGUUUCAAGAAAGGCAAGGGUAAGAAGAACUUGAAGAAGGACGGCAAGGGAGUUGCCGCGCCCGGUAAGCCAGUUGCCGAGAAGAAGACAAAGCAUGGACCCAAACCUGAGACUGAGUGCUUUUAUUGCAAGGGAAACGGUCACUGGAAGCGG